rnacentral:tRNA from 1 species
GGUUUGGUAGAUUAGUUGAUAAAGCAUUUGUUUAACGAAUAAGGGUCGUGAGUUCAAAUCACACCUGAGCUG